rnacentral:rRNA from 1 species
UACGAAGGGGGCUAGCGUUGCUCGGAAUUACUGGGCGUAAAGCGCGCGUAGGCGGACAUUUAAGUCAGGGGUGAAAUGCCGGGGCUCAACCUCGGAACUGCCUUUGAUACUGGGUGUCUGGAGUUCGGGAGAGGUGAGUGGAAUUCCGAGUGUAGAGGUGAAAUUCGUAGAUAUUCGGAGGAACACCAGAAGCGAAGGCGGCUCACUGGCCCGAUACUGACGCUGAGGCGCGAAAGCGUGGGGAGCAAACAGG